GACGAACGCUGGCGGCGUGCUUAACACAUGCAAGUCGAACGGAAAGGCCCUGCUUUUGUGGGGUGCUCGAGUGGCGAACGGGUGAGUAACACGUGAGUAACCUGCCCUUGACUUUGGGAUAACUUCAGGAAACUGGGGCUAAUACCGGAUAGGAGCUCCUGCUGCAUGGUGGGGGUUGGAAAGUUUCGGCGGUUGGGGAUGGACUCGCGGCUUAUCAGCUUGUUGGUGGGGUAGUGGCUUACCAAGGCUUUGACGGGUAGCCGGCCUGAGAGGGUGACCGGCCACAUUGGGACUGAGAUACGGCCCAGACUCCAACGGGAGGCAGCAGUGGGGAAUAUUGCACAAUGGGCGGAAGCCUGAUGCAGCAACGCCGCGUGCGGGAUGACGGCCUUCGGGUUGGAAACCGCUUUCGCCUGUGACGAAGCGUGAGUGACGGUAAUGGGUAAAGAAGCACCGGCUAACUACGUG
rnacentral:rRNA from 1 species